rnacentral:rRNA from 1 species
UACGUAGGCAGCGAGCGUUGUUCGGAGUUACUGGGCGUAAAGGGUGUGUAGGCGGUUGUUUAAGUUUGGUGUGAAAUCUCCCGGCUCAACUGGGAGGGUGCGCCGAAUACUGAGCGACUAGAGUGCGGGAGAGGAAAGUGGAAUUCCUGGUGUAGCGGUGAAAUGCGUAGAUAUCAGGAGGAACACCGGUGGCGAAGGCGGCUCUCUGGACCUGUCCUGACGCUCAGGCGCGAAAGCUAGGGGAGCAAACAGG